GAGUUUGAUCAUGGCUCAGAUUGAACGCUGGCGGUAUGCAUAACACAUGCAAGUCGAACGGUAGCAGGCUCGGGAAACCGAGUGCUGACGAGUGGCGGACGGGUGAGUAAUGCGUAGGGAUUUGCCUAGUAGAGGGGGAUAACCUGGGGAAACUCAGGCUAAUACCGCAUAUGCCUAAGGGUGAAAGAGGGGGACCGUAAAAGGCCUCUUGCUACUGGAUGAACCUGCGUAGGAUUAGCUAGUUGGUAGGGUAAAGGCCUACCAAGGCGAAGAUCCUUAACUGGUCUGAGAGGACGACCAGUCACACUGGGACUGAGACACGGCCCAGACUCCUACGGGAGGCAGCAGUGGGGAAUAUUGGACAAUGGGCGCAAGCCU
rnacentral:rRNA from 1 species